UCCCUGGUGGUCUAGUGGUAAGGAUUCUGCUUUUUCACUGCUAAGGGUCUGGGUUCCAUCCCUAGUCAGGGCG
rnacentral:tRNA from 1 species